GACGAACGCUGGCGGCGUGCUUAACACAUGCAAGUCGAACGCUGAAGCCCUUCGGGGUGGAUGAGUGGCGAACGAGUGAGUAACACGUGGGUAAUCUGCCCUGCACUCUGGGAUAAGCCUUGGAAACGGGGUCUAAUACCGGAUAGGACACAUCGCCGCAUGGUGUGUGUGUGGAAAGUUCCGGCGGUGCAGGUUGAGCCCGCGGCCUAUCAGCUUGUUGGUGGGGUGAUGGCCUACCAAGGCGACGACGGGUAGCCGGCCUGAGAGGGUGACCGGCCACACUGGGACUGAGACACGGCCCGGACUCCUACGGGAGGCAGCAGUGGGGAAUCUUGCGCAAUGGGCGAAAGCCUGACGCAGCAACGCCGCGUGGGGGAUGACGGCCUUCGGGUUGUAAACCUCUUUCGACCGGGACGAAGGAUUCGUUUGACGGUACCGGUAGAAGAAGCACCGGCUAACUACGUGCCAGCAGCCGCAGUAA
rnacentral:rRNA from 1 species